GAUCCUGGCUCAGAUUGAACGCUGGCGGCAGGCCUAACACAUGCAAGUCGAACGGUAACAGAAAGCAGCUUGCUGCUUUGCUGACGAGUGGCGGACGGGUGAGUAAUGUCUGGGAAACUGCCCGAUGGAGGGGGAUAACUACUGGAAACGGUAGCUAAUACCGCAUAACGUCGCAAGACCAAAGAGGGGGGACCUUCGGGCCGUCUUGCCAUCGGAUGUGCCCACGAUGGGAUUAGCUAGUAGGUGGGGUAACGG
rnacentral:rRNA from 1 species